rnacentral:lncRNA from 1 species
AGUGCAACUGAAGGUGCGCAGCCUCUUCUGAACCGGAACAAGAAAGAGCUCAUAACCACUGCUUGUGAACAGCUCUCCUCAACUUAAGGCGCACCUACUCUUACUAGAAGUCUAGUCUCUCUCAGGUCCAGUUUCGAUCUCUAACUAACUAACUUACAACAUAGGCCGGAAGAGAGAUAUUCAGAAAACCCGAUUUCCUGUCUUAAGAACCUGACUCAAAAGAGAAAAGAAGACCGGACUAAAAGAGAUCUCACUUUCGACGAUUGAACUUGACUUUUAUAUCCAGAUUGGAACUGGACUUAAACGUCUUUGGAUCCUGCUUAGGGCCGGCUUUCACUCCACUUUAACUUUCAUAUCAGGAACGUCGACUUGCACUUGCAAUAUAGAAUUUUACUUUCAGGAAUCCUUGCUCCUGGCUUAUAUUCACAUAGGCCACUCAUAAGAAUAAGACGUUCAACUCCCUAAAACACGUGUAAUUGAGAGAGUCAUCAUAUCAGUGCCUUGGGGAAAUGCCUACCUUCAGGAGAAGAUUACCGAAUGAGUUUCAAACCUGUCCUCUUCGCUUCCCAAGAUAUUUAGGGAAAGGGGCCUUGUCGGCCACCGCUUGCUGACGACGGAAC